rnacentral:rRNA from 1 species
GUCCGACUCUGUUGCCUCCGGGGCGACCCUGCCUUCGGGCGGGGGCUCCGGGUGGACACUUCAAACUCUUGCGUAACUUUGCAGUCUGAGUAAACUUAAUUAAUAAAUUAAAACUUUUAACAACGGAUCUCUUGGUUCUGGCAUCGAUGAAGAACGCAGCGAAAUGCGAUAAGUAAUGUGAAUUGCAGAAUUCAGUGAAUCAUCGAAUCUUUGAACGCACAUUGCGCCCCCUGGUAUUCCGGGGGGCAUGCCUGUUCGAGCGUCAUUUCACCACUCAAGCCUCGCUUGGUAUUGGGCAACGCGGUCCGCCGCGUGCCUCAAAUCGACCGGCUGGGUCUUCUGUCCCCUAAGCGUUGUGGAAACUAUUCGCUAAAGGGUGUUCGGGAGGCUACGCCGUAAAACAACCCCAUUUCUAAGGUUGACCUCGGAUCAGGUAGGGAUACCCGCUGAACUUAAGC